CCUACGGGAGGCAGCAGUGAGGAAUAUUGGUCAAUGGGCGCGAGCCUGAACCAGCGAAGUAGCGUGAAGGAUGACUGCCCUACGGGUUGUAAACCUCUUUUAUAAGGGAAGAAUAAAUGCUACGUGUAGCAUGAUGCCUGUACCUUAUGAAUAAGCAUCGGCUAACUACGUGCCAGCAGCCGCGGUAAUACGGAGGAGGCGAGCGUUAUCCGGAUUUAUUGGGUUUAAAGGGUGCGGAGGCGGUUUUUUAAGUUAGUGGUUAAACGUCGGGGCUUCACCUUGUUUGGCCAUUAAUACUGUAAGACUCGAGUUCAGACGAGGUAGGCGGAAUAAGUUAAGUAGCGGUGAAAUGCUUAGAUAUAACUUAGAACUCCGAUAGCGAAGGCAGCUUACCAGACUGCGACUGACGCUGAAGCACGAGAGCGUGGGUAGCGAACAGGAUUAGAUACCCGGGUAGUC
rnacentral:rRNA from 1 species